rnacentral:snRNA from 1 species
GUGCUAGCUUUGGCAGCACAUAUGCUAAAAUAUAUAGAGAUUAGCAUGGCCCCUGUGCAAGGAUGACAUGCAAAUCCGUGAAGCAUUUCAUAUUAAA